AACGAACGCUGGCGGCGUGCCUAACACAUGCAAGUCGAACGGGACCUUCGGGCCUAUUUGCGCAGCGCUAGUUAACGCGGGGGAACCUGCCCUUAAGUUCGGUGUAACUCACCUUAGGGGGUCCUAAUACCGGUUAAUCUCUUCGGAGCUAAGAUUUACCGCUUCUUGGUGGGCCCUAGUUGGAUUCGCUAGUUGGUAGGGUACAAGCCUGCCAAGACGAUGAUCCAGAGCUGGUCUGAGAGGAGGAUCAGCCACACUGGGAUUGAGACACGGCCCAGACGCCGAGGGGAGGUAGCAGUGGGGAAUAUAGGACAAUGGGCGAAAGCCUGAUCCAGCAAGGCCGGGUGAGUGAUGAAGGGCUUAGGGUUGUAAAGCGCUUUUACCCGGGAGGAUAAUGACAGUACCGGGAGAAUAAGCUCCGGCUAACUCGGU
rnacentral:rRNA from 1 species